GCGUUUUGUUGGAAAUUUGUCUGGGCAUCUAUGAACAUGUUGGAAAAGACUCGAAAGAGUUUGUAUCUUUCUUCUUUCCUCCUCUUUUUGUCAUGAAAUACUGCCAAAUGUUAAGUAUUAUUCUUUAUCGGAAAUAGAUGGCGUUUUGUUAUUAUUUAGUAGUUUUCUACUAUCAUUUGGAGUAGAAGCAUGAGUAGAAGCAUUGAUAAGAGCUCUUUUCUGGCAAUUUAUUGACUUGUUAUUAUGAUAGUAGCGAGAUUGUGAUUUUCCAUAUUAAUGAAACCGAAAAACUUAAUGAAUUACAGCCCUGUGGUGUAAUGCAUGGUCUAUUUUCAAAAAAAAACAAUUACUGUCGGCCGGCCCCGGCCAUUAUCAGCAAGUCUUCAUUCAUUCUACAAAACACCCAGGUCAAUAGGCAACAGUUUUUUUGUAUUCCUUGCAGUCACUCUAAAUAGAAAUGUUUCAACAACACAGUGCAUUCAGCUUUGCAAGUUUCAACAAAUUAUAACUCAGUACUCAACUUCACACCAAGAUCUUAAAAUAAUUUUGGUCAUGAAAUCAAUAAUUAUUAGUUUGGAAAAAGCCCAAAAGCCCUCUCGAUGGUAGAAUAUUUGCAAAUUGCAAAAAUCGAUCAUCAAAAAUCGCAAACAUCCCUUAAAAAUUCGAAAAAAGGGCUGUCACUAGGUGGCUAGUGUGUUUAGGGAUUGAACUAUUCAGCCCUAGUGUGUUGGUAUCAACUCAUCAUAGUUUUCAGACGAUAAAGUAGCAUUCAUUCUUUUUCUUCCGAGACGCUGGCCGAGAAGGUUACUCUAGUUAUUGCUGGGUACUUUCUUUCCUGACAAUCUGACAUUGUUCUUCAUAAAAGAAGGUUGGUGGAGAUCGUUCUCAACAUGAAGUGCCAAGUCAACAAGUGCCUGUGAUGAGGUCUACCAUGUUCUGAGAUGAAAAUGUGCAGAAAACAGGAAAUCUGAAAUGGAUUCCUUGGUCAGUCUGGAGCUGUUAAUGGUGGUGAUGUCUGGUGUGCAGUGGUGUGGCAGUUAUUUUCUGAUCGAGAGAUGAACUGAAAUGGAUCUUUUGAGGACUUGCAGUUCAACUUCAGACUUCAAUUUACCAUGUUGGUGUCCAUGCAGUGUUGAGCUUUUGUGCAAGAUAGUUGGUGUUGCCUGAUGGUUGUCUGGCAUUUGUUGUCUCUUGCUACCUGUACCCACAUUGAGUUCAAUCGGAUGCUGCCGUUCCACACUUGAUCCACUGGUGAAGCUGAGGAGAAGUUGCUGAAAUUCAAGACUAAAAAUUAUUUAAAUUUAGACCAAUUAAAAAUGCAUAUCUUUUGUCCCUUUUCCCUAAGUAAAACAUGUCCUCAGUUGGUUGUGUGAAAUUCAGUAAUGUUAUGAUGGAAUAUGGAGUUGCAAUGAGAUUUGAUAAUUCUAUGAGAGAUUCGUUAAACUACAAACUUAAAUGAUCCAAUUAACUACUUCCUCCAUAACAAUUCUUAACGUUUUGCUCUAAAUCAGAAACAUGACCUUAAAAAUAAAUUAUUGAAACCAA